rnacentral:rRNA from 1 species
UUCUGGUUGAUCCUGCCGGAGGUCACUGCUAUUGGGAUUCGACUAAGCCAUGCGAGUCGCGAGGGUUCGGCCCUCGGCUGACGGCUCAGUAACACGCGGAUAAUCUGCCCUUAGGUGGAGGAUAAUCUCGGGAAACUGAGAAUAAUAUUCCAUAGAUUUAGGAUGCUGGAAUGCACUUAAAUUAAAAGCUUCGGCGCCUAAGGAUGAGUCUGCGGACUAUCAGGUUGUAGUCAGGGUAACGACCUGACUAGCCUACGACGGAUACGGGUUGUGAGAGCAAUAACCCGGAGAUGAUAUCUGAGACACGAUAUCAGGCCCUACGGGGCGCAGCAGGCGCGAAAACUUCGCAAUGUGCGAAAGCACGACGAGGGAAUCCCAAGUGCUGGCUCGUUAGAGUCAGCUGUUUUUAUGUCUAAAAAGCAUAGAGAGUAAGGGCUGGGUAAGACGGGUGCCAGCCGNNCGCGGUAA